rnacentral:rRNA from 22 species
UUAUGAGGCCUCGUAAUCGGAAUGAGUACACUUUAAAUAUUUUAACGAGGAACAAUUGGAGGGCAAGUCUGGUGCCAGCAGCCGCGGUAAUUCCAGCUCCAAUAGCAUAUUCUAGAAUUGUUGCGGUUAAAAAGCUCGUAGUUGCAUUUGUGUGCCGCACUGCCGGUCCAUCGUUCACGCGGUGCGACUGGUAGACUUGCGGGGCAUAUCGCCGGUGAGCCCUCCGGUAAAACGGGGGGCUCAACUGAAAAUCCUGUCGCGGUGCUCUUCGCUGAGUGUCGAGAUGGGCCGGCAAUUUUACUUUGAACGAAUUAGAGUGCUCAAAGCGGGCUAUCGUUUGGAUAAAGGUGCAUGGAAUAAUGGAAUAUGAUCAUGGUUUUAUUUUGUUGGUUUUAGAGACCAGGAUAAUGAUUAAUGGAAGCAACUGGGGGCAUUCGUAUUGCGACGUUAGAGGUGAAAUUCUUGGAUCGUCGCAAGACGGACCACUGCGAAAGCAUUUGCCAAAGGUGUUUUCAUCAAUCAAGAACGAAAGUUAGAGGUUCGAAGGCGAUUAGAUACCGCCCUAGUUCUAACCAUAAAUGAUGCCAGCCAGCGAUCCGCCGACGUUAACUCUAAUGGCUCGGCGGGCAGCUUACGGGAAACCAAAGCUUUUGGGCUCCGGGGGGAGUAUGGUUGCAAAACUGAAACUUAAAGGAA